CCUACGGGCGGCAGCAGUGGGGAAUAUUGGACAAUGGGGGCAACCCUGAUCCAGCCAUGCCGCGUGUGUGAAGAAGGCCCUCGGGUUGUAAAGCACUUUCAGUGAGGAAGAACGCCUGGUGGUUAAUACCCAUCAGGAAAGACAUCACUCACAGAAGAAGCACCGGCUAACUCCGUGCCAGCAGCCGCGGUAAUACGGAGGGUGCGAGCGUUAAUCGGAAUUACUGGGCGUAAAGCGCGCGUAGGUGGCUUGAUAAGCCGGUUGUGAAAGCCCCGGGCUCAACCUGGGAACGGCAUCCGGAACUGUCAAGCUAGAGUGCAGGAGAGGAAGGUAGAAUUCCCGGUGUAGCGGUGAAAUGCGUAGAGAUCGGGAGGAACACCAGUGGCGAAGGCGGCCUUCUGGACUGACACUGACACUGAGGUGCGAAAGCGUGGGUAGCAAACAGGAUUAGAUACCCUAGUAGUC
rnacentral:rRNA from 1 species